AGGAGGGGUUUGGAUCAUGGCUCAGAACGAACGCUGGCGGCGUGGAUUAGGCAUGCAAGUCGAACGAGGAUAUAUCCUUCGGGAUAUAAGCCGAGUGGCACAAGGGUGAGUAAUGCAUAGAUUACCUGCCUUUAGGAUAAGGUGAACUUUGUGAAAACGGAGCUAAUACUUAAUAAUACAAAAGAAAAUAAUUUUCUUUUGUCAAAGGGAGGGUAGCAAUACCUUUCGCCUAGAGAGGGGUUUAUGUCCUAUCAGCUUGUUGGUGGGGUAAUGGCCUACCAAGGCGAAGACGGGUAGCCGGUCUUAGAGGAUGGUCGGCCACACUGGGACUGAGACACUGCCCAGACUUCUACGGAAGGCUGCAGUCGAGAAUUCUUUCGCAAUUGCCCGAAAGGGUGACGAAGC
rnacentral:rRNA from 1 species